UUGAUUGAUUUGUUUUUUUCUCAGACUACAAAAAAGUAUCAAGAGUUUGGUCCCUCGGCGGGCAAGGCUCGCCCUCUCCACACCAACAUAAAAAAUGAUGGGGGAGGAGACGAUCAUACCUGUGAAGCGAAAAUAAAAACACCUCACAAGCACGUCCCGCCGAAGCAACAGGUCGGGUACGCAAGGGUGGGAGUCCACGCCGAAGCGCGGGUACUCGGUAAUGAUCCUUCCGCAGGUUCACCUACGGAAA
rnacentral:misc_RNA from 1 species